rnacentral:rRNA from 1 species
AUUGAACGCUGGCGGCAUGCCUUACACAUGCAAGUCGAACGGAUUAGAGGGGCUUGCUCCUCUAGUUAGUGGCGAACGGGUGAGUAAUGCAUCGGAACGUACCCAGUCGUGGGGGAUAACGUAGCGAAAGUUACGCUAAUACCGCAUACGAUCUGAGGAUGAAAGCAGGGGAUCGCAAGACCUUGCGCGAUUGGAGCGGCCGAUGUCGGAUUAGCUAGUUGGUAGGGUAAAAGCCUACCAAGGCGACGAUCCGUAGCUGGUCUGAGAGGACGACCAGCCCCACUGGGGCGGAGACACGGCCCAGAAUCCUACGGGAGGCAGCAGUGGGGAAUUUUGGACAAUGGGGGAAACCCUGAUCCAGCCAUGCCGCGUGAGUGAAGAAGGCCUUCGGGUUGUAAAGCUCUUUCGGACAGAAAGAAAUCUUUCGGGCUAAUACCCCGGAAGGAUGACGGUACUGUAAGAAGAAGCACCGGCUAACUACGUGCCAGCCGCCGCCGUAAAAC